GAGCAUUCAGAUUUAAACCCGUUCAUUCCGGGACACCUUGUGUAUGCGUGUAUACCCACGCAUAUGUCUCAAAUAGUAUCUUCGAGCUCGGGAUCGACGGUACUCGAUGAUAUUCGUAGUCGGGAUACGACGGUGAGCGGCGAUCUCUCGGUUUGUGUUGUCUCCUCAUUUGUAUAUUUUAUUCCGAAAUGUCCGAGAGUGUCAUUGCGAACAGACACCGUUUCAACUGUCGUCGCUUCGCGAACCGUGACACGAUUCAUUCGACGCGCUCGCGAAAACGCUCGUGCUAAAUUUAUCUCUCGGUGUCGAAGUCGCGAUGCAUUCGCACUGCAGCUUCGAAUCAUAGUAAGCGUGCAUAUGUCGUGUGCGGUUUCGUGUCACGCUAAGACUACGAGUUCCUCGCGUAUUACAUGAGCAUUUUGUCGCUUUGCCAUUUAAUUCUUUAACGAACUGAUAUACUUGCCAAAUCGACCAUCGCGUAUAAGAGAUUUGACAAUAUCUACCUAGAUAAACAAUGAUUGACAAUCUAAUAAUUAUCUGUCAAAUCGAAUAAUAAAAAAAAUUUCAAAAAUACAGUGGAAACUGUCAUCUUAAUCACUUUUCGGCAGAAUUAGUUAGCAAUUUUGCUUAAAAAAAAACUUAGAGACUCAAUCUAUCUUAAAUAAAGGUCAAAAGUUCAUACAUAUAUAUUAGAUUUGUCUGACAAUGAGCGCGAAGUGUAUAACGCGUAGAAGCGAUAAUGAGAAAUACAGAACAAUUCAAAACAUACUGUAUUUUAUUGUAAUUAAAAACUAUUAUAUAAGUAUUACGAGAGUAAGUGUUUCAUUUUCUGUUUAUAUAAAUAGUUUAUAAUUUUUAUCUAUAUCUGAAUUUGAUAAAUGAAUCUUUGAUCGAUUUAUUAUUUUCUUGUCUUAUGGAUUUUGCUCAGACUCUAUCUUUAUUUUCAUGCUCGUUAAUUUUGAUAAAUAAUUUAAUCAGCAGUUGACCAAAAACAUCAGGAGUAUUCGAUACAUAAAUUUUUAGUGAUUAUCAUAUUUAUCAAUAUUGCAUCCUAAAAAAUGCAAAUUGAGAUUUCUCCGAAAGAGCAGAAUAUUUUAGGGACACAGCGUAUUGAAAAAAAUUUCUCUAUCACGUAGAGUUCUCCUCUAUAUAUAUCUAUGUUCGUAUAACAAUUGUUUUCACCAGGAUAUUUAUGUACAGCAUGUUGUCGCAUUGUUAUGUAUAUUUCUCGCGUGUCGUUUUACGUUUUUUCCGGUCGUCUCGCAAUUGAACGUCUAUACAUUUGUAUUCCACUUUCCAAUUCCAUUCGAUUCCCGCGAAGGUCAAUUUUACUAGACAAAAAAAAGGCGAAUUGAAAUUCUACUAAAAGGAUCGAGUCCUCGUUACGUGCAUUAUUGCAUUAAUUAGCAUACCUAUUGUUAUACAUUCAAUACAACGCGGAAGGAUACAAAAGACAAAAUUGUAAAUAACAUUUAGACAUUCGUAUUCUUUUCAAUCUCAUCUAAUUUUCGUAAAGAUUAAUUUUAGUAUUAUAUAAAUAAAUAAAAUAAACUAAAUUUUAUCGAAAAAAUAGAAUUAACAAAUGGAUAUUAAAAUGUUGACGAUAAGUCGCGCGUGUGCAAUAGCCGCAAUGAGACUUCCUGCCGAUUCCUUCGCUCGUUCAUGACUCAUGUGGAAGAAGCUAUUCGGCUUCUCUCACGUUAGUACGAUGCCAACCAACGCGUGUAACUACCAACGCGUGCAGCACACGCGUGUUGUCCUGAACUAUUGCUGGCGUCGAAAGUGGGCUUUCUUGAUUGCGUUGACUUCGUGUGUUAUCGUUGUCGUACUUUUCACGAGUUAUCCGACUGUUCGCGAGGCAAACAUUACGGAACGCGACACAUACCUGGACGAUGUAUCCGAAGAACUUUACCAAACUGUGCUGGGGACUUGGUAUAACUUUUCCGCCGGUGAAAAAUGGUACAACAACAAAAGUAUAUCCGCACUGAAUCCGGAAGUUUAUCACGAUCUAUUGACGAAUAUUCGACAGGAUUGGAUAAUAUGGAAUUAUAAUUCGAACGAGUCGUAUAUUCUUCAAGAACCGGAUGUUAAAGAUCCAUCGAUGGGACAAUCGACUGUGAUACGCGAAAUUUUCAAUGAUAAGAAAAAUGGAUUUUUCAUAGAAUGCGGUGCGUACGACGGGGAAACGCGUAGCAACACGUUGUUCCUGGAGCAAUUUAAUGGAUGGUCGGGUCUUCUGAUAGAAGCGGAUCCCAUCAAUUUUACAAAAAUGCUCCAAAAGAACAGAAGAGCUUAUCUUUCGCCGACGUGUCUCAGCGUUAUUAAGAGCCCCACAGUGGCGUCUUUUCUUAUGGCGAGGAACGUGGGGCGUCUGCACGAGCCCGAGAAUACAACGGAAAGCGUAUCCGCGAAUACGCUCGACGUGGCUCACACAGGCGAGCACAUCCGCGUGCAGUGCCUCCCAUUGAUACUUUACAUCGCCGCAUUGGGAGUCAAGACAAUCGAUUAUUUCAGUCUCGAUAUCGAAGGCAAUGAAAUCGACGUACUAGAGACAAUCCCGUUUAACGAGGUGGAUAUAAAGGCCCUAUCUGUGGAAUACAUACACAACCCGAAGGGACGAAAGUAUCUGAUCGAUAUGAUGGAACAGCGGGGAUAUUACGUUUAUAGUUUUGUGGAACAGUUGGAUAACUUGGCGAAUGAUAUUAUUUUUGUAAAACGCGAUAUGCGAUGAAUGAGCACGAAUAGAUGAAAUUAUAUAGCUUCUGGAAUCUCUUUCUUUAAGUGAAUUAAUAAUAUUUUAUUACAAUUCUCUCGAAAUUUUCUUCACUUAACUGAUGAUCACGCAUACGUUCGGAAAAACGUAAUGCUUUCAAUAUUAUAUUGUAUUAUGAAUGUGUAAUACAUGAACUUAUGUUUAUUCGAAAAACAAUACUAUUAUUUAUUAAAAUUAAUAACUCGUAUUAUGCAUUAAUAAAUAUAAGCUGCUUAUAUAUUAAUUAACUAUUUCAAUAUAAAACAUAUCAAAAUGUUCCAUAUCCUUGCUCCGUAACAAUUUUUUUGAAGAUUCCAACAUUUUAUAAAUUGCUAAAAUAAGUAUUUAUAAAGCCAAUAUUUAAUACAUUAUUCAUUUUUGAAAUAGACCUCAAAUUAAAUUAAUUUUAUCAUACAGUUACUAAAAUAACUUAUACUAUUAAUGUAUGCAACUAAACCAAAAUAUUUUAUAUAAAUAUUUAUUGAUUCUGCGUUGAAAAUUGUUCAUGUCAAGCUAAAAUAUUCUGGUUCAUCUAAAUAAACUUAAUUUAAUCAAACUUUCUUUUCGAAUUACGAGAGAAUCGUUAACAUUCAGAUGCGCGUCCGGGUACAUUAUUUAUAAUAUAAUAUUUGUUUCCAGAAAUAUUAAC